rnacentral:rRNA from 1 species
UAAGGAAUAUUGGUCAAUGGACGCAAGUCUGAACCAGCCAUGCCGCGUGAAGGAUUAAGGUCCUCUGGAUUGUAAAACUUCUUUUAUCUGGGACGAAAAAAGGCGAUUCUUCGUCACUUGACGGUACCAGAUGAAUAAGCACCGGCUAACUCCGUGCCAGCAGCCGCGGUAAUACGGAGGGUGCAAGCGUUAUCCGGAUUCACUGGGUUUAAAGGGUGCGUAGGCGGGCAGGUAAAGUCAGUGGUGAAAUCCUAGAGCUAACUCUAGAACUGCCAUUGAUACUAUCUGUCUUGAAUAUUGUGGAGGUAAGCGGAAUAUGUCAUGUAGCGGUGAAAUGCUUAGAUAUGACAUAGAACACCUAUUGCGAAGGCAGCUUACUACGCAUAUAUUGACGCUGAGGCACGAAAAGCGUGGGGAUCAAACAGGAUUAGAUACCCUGGUAGUCCACGCCCUAAACGAUGAUUACUCGACAUUUGUGAUACACUAUAAGUGUCUGAGCG